rnacentral:rRNA from 1 species
UACGUAGGGAGCAAGCGUUGUCCGGAAUCAUUGGGCGUAAAGCGCGCGUAGGCGGCUCGAUCAGUCUGUUGUGAAAGUCAAAGGCUCAACCUUUGAAUGCCGAUGGAUACUGUCGAGCUAGAGUCCGGAAGAGGCGAGUGGAAUUCCUGGUGUAGCGGUGGAAUGCGCAGAUAUCAGGAGGAACACCAACGGCGAAGGCAGCUCGCUGGGACGGUACUGGCGCUAAGGCGCGAAAGCGUGGGGAGCGAACAGG